GACAGAGGGGGCAAGCGUUGCUCGGAAUUACUGGGCGUAAAGGGCGCGUAGGCGGGAUGGCAAGUCGGUCGUGAAAUCCCUCGGCUCAACCGAGGAACGUCGAUCGAUACUGCUGUUCUUGAGGAUUGCAGAGGAGACUGGAAUUCCCGGUGUAGCGGUGAAAUGCGUAGAUAUCGUAAGGAAGACCAGUGGCGAAGGCGGGUCUCUGGACAGUUCCUGACGCUGAGGCACGAAGGCCAGGGGAGCAAACGGG
rnacentral:rRNA from 1 species